rnacentral:rRNA from 1 species
GACGAACGCUGGCGGCGUGCUUAACACAUGCAAGUCGAGGGCUCCCAGCAAUGGGGGACCGGCGAACGGGUGCGUAACACGUGAGCGACCUGCCCUCUUGCGGGGGAUAGCCGGCCCAACGGCCGGGUAAUACCGCAUACGCCGAGAGUCGGGCAUCCGAGUCUCGGGAAACCGCAUGGGCGAGAGGAGGGGCUCGCGGCCUAUCAGCUAGUUGGCGGGGUGACGGCCCACCAAGGCUCCGACGGGUAGCUGGUCUGAGAGGAUGGCCAGCCACAUUGGGACUGAGAGACGGCCCAGACUCCUACGGGAGGCAGCAGUGGGGAAUCUUGCGCAAUGGGCGGAAGCCUGACGCAGCGACGCCGCGUGCGGGACGAAGGCCUUCGGGUCGUAAACCGCUGUUGCCCGGGACGAACAACCGGCUUCGGCCGGUCUGACGGUACCGGGUGAGGAAGCACCGGCUAACUCCGUGCCAGCAGCCGCGGUAAUACGGAGGGUGCGAGCGUUGUCCGGAAUCACUGGGCGUAAAGGGCGCGUAGGCGGCCCCUUAAGCGUGCGGUGAAAGCCUGGGGCUCAACCCCGGGUCGGCCGUGCGGACUGGGGGGGCUCGAGCACCGUAGGGGCAGGCGGAAUUCCGGGUGUAGCGGUGGAAUGCGUAGAGAUCCGGAAGAACACCGGCGGCGAAGGCGGCCUGCUGGCGGUGGCUGACGCUGAGGCGCGACAGCGUGGGGAGCAAACAGGAUUAGAUACCCUGGUAGUCCACGCCGUAAACGAUGGGCACUA